AUGGUUUCAGCUUCUAAUUGCUGUUUGAAAAUAGAGUUUCCUAACCUGCUUUUUCUUGAGGUGUGGCUGUGGACUGUGGAUGAAUAUGUUUGCUCGGUGUAUUCAAAAUGUUGGUAUGCUAUAUAAACCAUUUGACCAUUGUGAUGAUUCUGUCUCUAGCUAGCACCUUUUCUUCUUUGGCUACUGGUUUGGGUUCAUUUGAAAAAAAAACACGGUGGGCAGGAUUAUAAGGUCCCUGCAUGGAUGUAUGCAUGAUUUAGAG
rnacentral:lncRNA from 1 species